GCACUCGUAGCUCAAUUGGAUAGAGCAACGGUCUUCGGAACCGGCGGUUGGGGGUUCGACUCCCUCCGAGUGCG
rnacentral:tRNA from 1 species